UACAGGGGGAAAAAUGGACCUUAAGUGAAAGCAAGGACCUGCAAGCAUCCCAGAGAAGAGCAGAGCCGCCUGGACGUCUUGAAGCCCAAACACAAGAGUGAAGAGAAACACGAAAAGCUCUCUUUAGGGCGACAAAGAGCAGGCGUCCGAGGGCGCGCCCUUAAACUGGGCAGUGGCAGGACAAGCGUGGCCCGGGACUGGGACGGAACGCCGCUGCGCCCGAAGAAAGCCAUGAGCGGCAGUGAAAACUUUGGGAAGGCUUAGAUGAACUGAGCGAAGAGCUCUAUGCGACCCCGGUGUGUCGGCGCCUAAAACGGGCGAGAUUCUCCGACGACGGACCAUGGCCGCCUGGCCCCGCGUCCCUUCACAAGACGCCAUUCGGUUUCGAGACCCGUGGCCGAAAGGCCGUCCCCCUGAGGGCCGGAGCAAGGAAGAAAGGGGGACUCGCGGCCCAAAGAUUCAGACGGCGCCAGAGAGCCGGCGUUCCGCUUUGUCUGCGCAUCUGAGAGCGCCCGCACACACCUGUCCGGGGGGGGGGGGGG